UCCCGGUUUAAGCGUGUAGGUGUGUGUUCCAGGUAAAUCCGGUUCACUUUAACACUGAGGCGUGAUGACGAGGCACUACGGUGCUGAAGCAACAAAUGCCCUGCUUCCAGGAAAAGCCUCUAAGCAUCAGGUAACAUCAAAUCGUACCCCAAACCGACACAGGUGGUCAGGUAGAGAAUACCAAGGCGCUUGAGAGAACUCGGGUGAAGGAACUAGGCAAAAUGGUGCCGUAACUUCGGGAGAAGGCACGCUGACACGUAGGUGAAGUGAUUUACUCACGGAGCUGAAGUCAGUCGAAGAUACCAGCUGGCUGCAACUGUUUAUUAAAAACACAGCACUGUGCAAACACGAAAGUGGACGUAUACGGUGUGACGCCUGCCCGGUGCCGGAAGGUUAAUUGAUGGGGUCAGCGCAAGCGAAGCUCCUGAUCGAAGCCCCGGUAAACGGCGGCCGUAACUAUAACGGUCCUAAGGUAGCGAAAUUCCUUGUCGGGUAAGUUCCGACCUGCACGAAUGGCGUAAUGAUGGCCAGGCUGUCUCCACCCGAGACUCAGUGAAAUUGAACUCGCUGUGAAGAUGCAGUGUACCCGCGGCAAGACGGAAAGACCCCGUGAACCUUUACUAUAGCUUGACACUGAACAUUGAGCCUUGAUGUGUAGGAUAGGUGGGAGGCUUUGAAGUGUGGACGCCAGUCUGCAUGGAGCCGACCUUGAAAUACCACCCUUUAAUGUUUGAUGUUCUAACGUGGACCCGUAAUCCGGGUUGCGGACAGUGUCUGGUGGGUAGUUUGACUGGGGCGGUCUCCUCCUAAAGAGUAACGGAGGAGCACGAAGGUUGGCUAAUCCUGGUCGGACAUCAGGAGGUUAGUGCAAUGGCAUAAGCCAGCUUGACUGCGAGCGUGACGGCGCGAGCAGGUGCGAAAGCAGGUCAUAGUGAUCCGGUGGUUCUGAAUGGAAGGGCCAUCGCUCAACGGAUAAAAGGUACUCCGGGGAUAACAGGCUGAUACCGCCCAAGAGUUCAUAUCGACGGCGGUGUUUGGCACCUCGAUGUCGGCUCAUCACAUCCUGGGGCUGAAGUAGGUCCCAAGGGUAUGGCUGUUCGCCAUUUAAAGUGGUACGCGAGCUGGGUUUAGAACGUCGUGAGACAGUUCGGUCCCUAUCUGCCGUGGGCGCUGGAGAACUGAGGGGGGCUGCUCCUAGUACGAGAGGACCGGAGUGGACGCAUCACUGGUGUUCGGGUUGUCAUGCCAAUGGCACUGCCCGGUAGCUAAAUGCGGAAGAGAUAAGUGCUGAAAGCAUCUAAGCACGAAACUUGCCCCGAGAUGAGUUCUCCCUGAGACUUAGAGUCUCCUGAAGGAACGUUGAAGACGACGACGUUGAUAGGCCGGGUGUGUAAGCGCAGCGAUGCGUUGAGCUAACCGGUACUAAUGAACCGUGAGGCUUAACCUUACAACGCCGAAG
rnacentral:rRNA from 1 species